AUUGAACGCUGGCGGCAUGCCUUACGCAUGCAAGUCGAACGGUAACAGGUCUUCGGAUGCUGACGAGUGGCGAACGGGUGAGUAAUACAUCGGAACGUGCCUAGUAGUGGGGGAUAACUACUCGAAAGAGUGGCUAAUACCGCAUGAGAUCUACGGAUGAAAGCAGGGGAUCGCAAGACCUUGUGCUACUAGAGCGGCCGAUGGCAGAUUAGGUAGUUGGUGGGAUAAAAGCUUACCAAGCCGACGAUCUGUAGCUGGUCUGAGAGGACGAUCAGCCACACUGGGACUGAGGCACGGCCCAGACUCCUACGGGAGGCAGCAGUGGGGAAUUUUGGACAAUGGGCGCAAGCCUGAUCCAGCAAUGCCGCGUGCAGGAUGAAGGCCUUCGGGUUGUAAACUGCUUUUGUACGGAACGAAAAGCCCCGGGUUAAUACCCUGGGGUCAUGACGGUACCGUAAGAAUAAGCACCGGCUAACUACGUGCCAGCAGCCGCCGUAA
rnacentral:rRNA from 1 species